CUUUCACAGGUGAGCUAUUUUUCCACAUGUUCCUGCCUGAGCAACCGGCAAAAGUUUCCGUCCUUCUUUAGGACAAUCCCAAGUGAUGCUUUUCAGGUUCGUGCUAUGAUUCAGAUUCUAAACCACUUUGGCUGGACUUGGGCAGGUCUGCUGGUCAGUGGUGAUGAUUAUGGACUCCAUGCUGCCCGAUCCUUCCAAUCUGACCUGAGUCUGUCUGGUGAAGGGUGUCUGGCUUAUUUAGAAGUUUUGCCUUGGGGCAAUGACCCAGCUGAACUGAGGAGGAUUGUGGAUGUGAUGAAGAAAUCCACAGCUCAUGUAGUCAUUGUGUUUGCACAUGAAGGUCACAUGAUUAAUCUCAUGAAGGAGGUGGUGAGGCAGAAUGUAACAGGCCUGCAGUGGAUGGCC